GCUCUACCCACCGCCUUUUUCUAUAUAUAAAAUCAUCGCAUCUCUCUUUCACAAAAGCUAAAACCCUAGUUCUGGCUGUCUGUGCAAGCAUUCUUUAUGUUUGUUAUUUUUAUAAGUACCUUUGCUGAAUCAUUUCGCUGCCAUUUUUUUUGAAGUUUUCUAUUGCUGAAUAUCUGUUUUAUUGUUUUGUUUGUUUGUUUGUUUUUUUAGUUUACCUCUACUAGGCCUGUGCCUAUGAUGGUGUUAAA
rnacentral:misc_RNA from 1 species